rnacentral:rRNA from 1 species
UACGAAGGGGGCUAGCGUUGCUCGGAAUCACUGGGCGUAAAGCGCACGUAGGCGGCUUCUUAAGUCAGGGGUGAAAUCCUGGAGCUCAACUCCAGAACUGCCUUUGAUACUGAGGAUCUUGAGUUCGGGAGAGGUGAGUGGAACUGCGAGUGUAGAGGUGAAAUGCGUAGAUAUUACAAGGAACACCAAUGGCGAAGGCAGCUUGCUGGGCUUCUUCUGACACUGAGGUACGAAAGCGUGGGGAGCGAACAGG